rnacentral:rRNA from 1 species
UACGAGGGGGGCAAGCGUUGUUCGGAAUUAUUGGGCGUAAAGGGUGCGUAGGCGGUUUGGCAAGUCUUAUGUGAAAUCCCCGAGCUCAACUUGGGGCGGUCAGUCAAAACUGUUUAUCUAGAGUAUGGUAGAGGAAAGUGGAAUUUCAGGUGUAGCGGUGAAAUGCGUAGAUAUCUGAAGGAACACCAGUGGCGAAGGCGACUUUCUGGACCAAUACUGACACUGAGGCACGAAAGCGUGGGGAGCAAACAGG